CACACACACACAGUCAAACACACACAGUCAGAGACACACACACACAGUCAGACACAAACACACACACAGUCAGACACACACACACACAGUCAGACACAAACACAGUCACACACACACAGUCAGACACACAGUCAGACACAAACACAGUCACACACACACAGUCAGACACACAGUCAGACACAACCACACACACACUCACAAACACAGUCAGACACAAACACACACACACAG